GGCAAGAUGGUCGAGUUGGUUAUGGCGUAAGGUUAGGGUUGCCUUAACAGACAAUUUUCUCAUGGAGCAAUCCGCGUGGGUUUAAGUCUCACUCUCGUCA